rnacentral:rRNA from 1 species
CCUACGGGGGGCUGCAGUGGGGAAUAUUGGACAAUGGGCGAAAGCCUGAUCCAGCCAUGCCGCGUGUGUGAAGAAGGCCUUCGGGUUGUAAAGCACUUUCAGUGGGGAAGAAAGCCUUGGGGCUAAUACCCUCGAGGAAGGACAUCACCCACAGAAGAAGCACCGGCUAACUCCGUGCCAGCAGCCGCGGUAAUACGGAGGGUGCGAGCGUUAAUCGGAAUUACUGGGCGUAAAGCGCGCGUAGGCGGUCUGAUAAGCCGGUUGUGAAAGCCCCGGGCUCAACCUGGGAACGGCAUCCGGAACUGUCAGGCUAGAGGGCAGGAGAGGAAGGUAGAAUUCCCGGUGUAGCGGUGAAAUGCGUAGAGAUCGGGAGGAAUACCAGUGGCGAAGGCGGCCUUCUGGACUGACACUGACGCUGAGGUGCGAAAGCGUGGGUAGCAAACAGGAUUAGAUACCCGGGUAGUC